rnacentral:rRNA from 1 species
GACGAACGCUGGCGGCGUGCUUAACACAUGCAAGUCGAACGGUAAGGCCCUUCGGGUACACGAGUGGCGAACGGGUGAGUAACACGUGGGUGAUCUGCCCUGCACUUCGGGAUAAGCCUGGGAAACUGGGUCUAAUACCGGAUAGGACCAUGGACUUCACGGUUUGUGGUGGAAAGCUUUUGCGGUGUGGGAUGGGCCCGCGGCCUAUCAGCUUGUUGGUGGGGUAAUGGCCUACCAAGGCGACGACGGGUAGCCGGCCUGAGAGGGUGUCCGGCCACACUGGGACUGAGAUACGGCCCAGACUCCUACGGGAGGCAGCAGUGGGGAAUAUUGCACAAUGGGCGCAAGCCUGAUGCAGCGACGCCGCGUGAGGGAUGACGGCCUCGGUUGUAACGUACUUCUACUAGGACG